UACAGAGGGUGCGAGCGUUAAUCGGAAUUACUGGGCGUAAAGCGUGCGUAGACGGUUGCGUAAGUCAGAUGUGAAAGCCCCGGGCUCAACCUGGGAAUUGCAUUUGAGACUGCGUAGCUAGGGUGCGGAAGAGGGAAGCGGAAUUCCGGUGUAGCGGUGAAAUGCGUAGAUAUCGGAAGGAACACCAGUGGCGAAAGCGGCUUCCUGGUCCAGCACCGACGUUCAGGCACGAAAGCGUGGGGAGCAAACAGG
rnacentral:rRNA from 1 species